rnacentral:rRNA from 1 species
AGAGUUUGAUCCUGGCUCAGGACGAACGCUGGCGGCACGCUUAACACAUGCAAGUCGAACGGAGAACAUUGAGCUUGCUUAAUGUUCUUAGUGGCGGACGGGUGAGUAACACGUGAGUAACCUGCCUCUGAGAGUGGGAUAGCUUCUGGAAACGGAUGGUAAUACCGCAUAACAUCAUGGAUUCGCAUGUUUCUAUGAUCAAAGAUUUAUCGCUUAGAGAUGGACUCGCGUCUGAUUAGCUAGUUGGUAAGGUAACGGCUUACCAAGGCGACGAUCAGUAGCCGACCUGAGAGGGUGACCGGCCACAUUGGGACUGAGACACGGCCCAAACUCCUACGGGAGGCAGCAGUGGGGAAUAUUGCACAAUGGGGGAAACCCUGAUGCAGCGAUGCCGCGUGGAGGAAGAAGGUUUUCGGAUUGUAAACUCCUGUUGAAGAGGACGAUAAUGACGGUACUCUUUUAGAAAGCUCCGGCUAACUACGUGCCAGCAGCCGCGGUAAUACGUAGGGAGCGAGCGUUAUCCGGAUUCAUUGGGCGUAAAGAGCGCGUAGGCGGCCUCUCAAGCGGGAUCUCUAAUCCGAGGGCUCAACCCCCGGCCGGAUCCCGAACUGGGAGGCUCGAGUUCGGUAGAGGCAGGCGGAAUUCCCGGUGUAGCGGUGGAAUGCGCAGAUAUCGGGAAGAACACCGAUGGCGAAGGCAGCCUGCUGGGCCGCAACUGACGCUGAGGCGCGAAAGCUAGGGGAGCGAACAGGAUUAGAUACCCUGGUAGUCCUAGCCGUAAACGAUGGAUACUAGGUGUGGGGGGCUCCGCCCUCCGUGCCGCAGCCAACGCAUUAAGUAUCCCGCCUGGGGAGUACGGCCGCAAGGCUAAAACUCAAAGGAAUUGACGGGGGCCCGCACAAGCAGCGGAGCAUGUGGCUUAAUUCGAAGCAACGCGAAGAACCUUACCAGGGCUUGACAUGGACGUGAAGCCGGGGAAACCCGGUGGCCGAGAGGAGCGUCCGCAGGUGGUGCAUGGCUGUCGUCAGCUCGUGUCGUGAGAUGUUGGGUUAAGUCCC